rnacentral:lncRNA from 1 species
CAUCCAAGGGGAAAAUUGCUCAAUUGGAGACACACUCAGCAGAAGCCCAGGCGGGUUUUCCCCUAAAAUGCUGAAAUAUUUCUGGGAGAUAAGAGAGUAAGCCUCGGCCUUUGGUGGUGCCUAGCUGCCUAAUCCAGCUCUCCUCUCCUCUGCUUAGCGAUCAGCCGUCAAAAUGGGACGACGACGUGUUAACGGCAUUACUCGGCGUAGAGAUCGACCCCCAGAGGUACCCUGCUAUUUCCAAGUGGAGCGAGGCCGUGCGGGCCUAUCCUGCUUCCGAACGGCGAAGGUGGUCCAGCCCUUCCCUGAAAGGAUUCGCCAAGGGCCAAGCCACCACCAGCCCUGCCAGAAACCUUCCGUACUUCAGCCCAGGGAAGAACAGCCCGGGGAAGUAUAACGCGGCGGCGGCCGGCUUCUCUCCAGAUUUAGGGAGCCCGGGGCGGUAUACGCCAGCGUACGUGAACUACAUCCUUCUGUCCAAGAGGCAACAUUUCUCAGGACUGCCUAAUCCUUAGGGUGGGGAAUUAGCCACCCUGGCCACGAAAACGUGAAGGAAGUGAAGGAAAAUUUGGAUGGUGGAAACCUUGACAGGAUGGCUUUUGUGACCACUUUUAAUUUAUUUAUUCUUGGAAGAGAGAGGGGGCUGCUGGAAUGAGCGGUGGGGGGGAGAAGCAUUUCAUUUACCUGAUCGUCAGUCUUGUAAAAUUAGGAAGUUAAACCUGAAAGGCCUCUGAAUGGGAAGCCCUAAAUCUCGAAGUUUAGGGAUUCAUAGAUAGAAGGGGCAUUUUUUGGGACUCAUAAGAAUUACAAAUUGAAGUCCAGUCUACCUGUAAUUUUCUUUCUUUCUUUCCUUUCUCUCCCUCUCUCUCUAUUCCUCCCUCCCUCUUUCUCAAAUCUAUCUCUUUCAAUCCUUCUCUUUCUCACUUUGUUUCUCUCUUUCACUCAACUGCUUUCUCCCAAUUUCUCUCAUUUUUCUCACUUUCAGUCUGUCUUUCUCCCAAUCUCUCUCACAUAUUGGGAUCCCGGUGACUCUUUAACGCCUGAAUAGAGAAUUUACAUGAUCAUAACCCAUCUUCGAGUUGGGUCGAGAUAGGAAUAAGCCUCUUUAAUCCCAGUGGAUACGAGGGCAGAUUCACAGUUUGCAAUCUGGUCUAAUUAGGAUCGUUAAGCAUAAGGGGACCUACGCUGAAGCUUUUGGAGAAGCCAAUGAAAGUUAUAGAUAUCACAGGUUAAUUAUUAUUUUUUCCCCAUUCGCCCUUCUUCAUUUCUGGCUUUGGGGAUGGGAUGGAGGCAGACUUUGCAGCUUCCACAGAAAAGCUCCUAAGUGGCAAUAAAGCAGUUUUCCUUUCACAGCUAAAUUCAUCACUGCAUCUCAUGGGAGCAUAAUGGCAUCGAUAUUAACUCCGUGUUUGAUGAAACAGCUAGAACAGAUUACAGCUACUCUGCUGUUAUGUUAAAUCUCACGCUGUUUAAUGAUGGCUGGUUUCCGAGUUUCCAACAUUUAAGAAUGAGCCUGCCCAAAUAAUGCUUAUAUUCCACUGCAGGCCUUUUUUUUUUUUUAAAUAGCCCAGUUCCAUACUGCAAAGCUCUGUUCUUGUGCAAUUGGAGAUAACCUCUAUAGCAGAAAAGGCCGGGGGAAGAGAUACAAAAUGGGAGAAAUGGUUAAAUCAUAGGACUUGGAGAGAGAGGGAUGGGAAGUUAUUUAUGGCACACUAACUUGAAGUAAUCACAGCAUCAGGAACUGCUGCAUGGUGGUUUCCUUACCGAUGUGUAGCCCACGUUUUAUAUACUACCUGUUUGAUGUUUUUGGUACUAAAACUUCAGAACUACACUCAAAGACUCUUCCAGUUUUAUUAGUGCCUUUUGUAACUUUUACGUUUGGUAUUCCUGUCUUGCUUUUCAAUGGGUAAUGUUCCCUUAUGUAUUGAACACAUUUUAACUUUCCACUUUUUGCAGUUUUUUUAUAGUUUAAGAGAUUCCAAGAAGUACUGUAACCAUCUAUUUAUUUUAUAUAUGUAAUAUAAGUGUCCUAUACAUAAAGCAAAAAUUAAACAAAGUGAUUUAAGGAUCAUUUGGAAUAGAAACCAGGUUUAGCAGCAGCUCCCUGUUUGGGUCACCCAGCUUUUGCUAUCGAUAGCAAUCAUUCUCCAGAGAGUAGUAUAAAACCUCUCCAGGUUUGUACUGAAUGACGUAUCAAAGGCGAACGUGUAUUAGAGGGAAAAAGAGGAAUGCGCCAGAGUGCUGUAGUGCAAUGUUGAGAUAUAAAAAAGCCAAGUUUCUAAAAAUCCCUUUAAGUGUAGCACGGUUUCUGAAAUUUGGCCUUUGUGCUUAAAAGUGCCCUACGCGCAUUACACCUGGUCUACAUAAAUGGUACAAAGCCAGAUAGGGCUAUUGUAGACAGCUACAGGUUUUGUGUAAAGCUUACUCCACAGCAUAAAAGGAAAGCAUUCCUGCUUAGCCACUGCAAAUUAAAACCGUAGGCAACUGACCAAUUUCCUUUGCUUUUGUUUAUACUUUUGUACUCAAAAGAUGUUUCUGGGAGCACAAAAUGUUCAGUUAAUACUUUUUUUUGUUGAGAUGUCUGAAGAAAGGUCAAAGAAUUGCUCUUGAAAAUAUUGUCUAAAACGUGUAAUUUUUUUUUGUCAAUGUGUUAAUGUGAAUUUUAAACGAGCUUAUUAAAUUUGUUUAUUUAAAAACAUCAUCUCUCCAUUAAUCAGUGGUUGUUGGUAGAAGGGACUAGCUCUAUACUCUGAAGACAGCUGUCCAGGCCACAGGAAGCAUGUUAAUAAUCCCAUUCUACUCGGCUGCGGAUCUUAGAUGCUGAAAAGGAUCAGGCAAUUUAAAAAAAAAUAACUCCUUUGAAGUACAGCCUUUAAAAUGUCUGAAGUGUUUAAGAUGAGAAACGCUACGGAUGACAACUUACAUGUCCCAAACCUUUUAAGAAUCUGACCCAAUGCAACAGCAGCAGCGGCUAAAAUUUAACAUUUCAUAAUGCCUGUUAUUUUCAAUUCCACCUUCCCACCAACAAAAUAAAAAUCGGAUGUCGCACUGCGUAAGUAGCAAAGACCCAGACAAAUGUCACGCUUCUAUUUUUUGCCUUAUGUGAACCUUGGUAUUCAGAAUGGAAACCUUCGCUUAAAAAAACCAGGGACCUCUUAAAUUUUGAAGCAGUCUUGAGUGGGAAUCAUUUUUUUUUUAAUUUUCACAGAUAAAGACAAAUAGAAAUAACUUACAUUUUCCACACUGAUAAGACACAGAUCCACCGGCGUCUUCUCUGAGCACAGAAUAACCUCAACCUCCUGCCAUUCCAGUUCUGCCAAUCCCACAAGCAUUCACGAGAAGCCCUUGAAUCUGUCUCAAAGUGGCAGAUUACUGGCUGAGGGUUCAGCUUCCCCACCCCCCCAUAAAAAUUAUAUUUUGCGGUAAGAAGUACAGAAGUGUCCUGGGCCCAUCGGAACCUGGUUUAGAAGAGGAGUUGGA